UCCAAUGUAAUAGCGAAAAAACAGGAGAGAUAAAAUUCAAAUCCCAAUUAAGUAUGAGAAACCAAAUAUUACAAAGUGAAUUAGGAAUGCUGCCAACUUUUCUCUCUAAUCAAUCGCUAAUAUAAAACCAAUCUCACCUUCCUACAAAAGAAUAAAAUAACCUAAUUUUUUCUGCAAAUCAUCACCUAUAUUACCUAACCCCUUUGUUAAUUUGUCUUUUUUUUUUUGGGUUAAAAUUUUGGGAAAAUUACAUGGUAUAUCCGUUUAUAAAACUCACUUUCAUAAUAUACCUAAGUUUUGAAAUUACAUCAAAUAUUCCAAAAAUAUUACACGCUAUACCUCCAUAUAUUCUAAAACAUAUCACUAUUCUACUUUGGAAUACAAUCCAAAUUUAAUUUACCAUAUAUACUAAUUUGGAAUAAAAUAUUCUAAUUGAACAGACCAUAUACUUUAAUUUGGAAUAUAUUAUUCAAAUUAAAGAUACCACAAUAUUCUAAUUCGAAAAAUCUAAACCUAGCUUACCCUAAUAUUCUAAUGAAGAAUACAGUAUCCAAACUAAACAUACCAUAAUAUUCUAACAAAACAUACUACACUAUUCUAAUUUGGAAUACUGUAUCCAAACCAAAUGUACUACAAUGUUCUAAUUUGUAUGUUCUGAUGAAAAAUUCGAGGUUUUUCUGAGAU
rnacentral:lncRNA from 1 species